rnacentral:rRNA from 1 species
UACAGAGGUCUCAAGCGUUGUUCGGAUUCAUUGGGCGUAAAGGGUGUGUAGGUGGCGCCGUAAGUCGGGUGUGAAAUUUCGGAGCUUAACUCCGAAACUGCAUUCGAUACUGCGGUGCUUGAGGACUGGAGAGGAGACUGGAAUUUACGGUGUAGCGGUGAAAUGCGUAGAUAUCUGGAGGAAUACCGGUGGCGAAGGCGGCAUCCUGGACCAUAACUGACGCUGAGGCGCGAAAGCUAGGGGAGCAAACGGG